UGAAGAUGAACAGGACAUAUCAAGAACGUAUCUGCUUAGACAAAGGGUUUGGAGUCAAUAUCAUUCCCGGGUUCUAGUUCUUAAAUGUUCCGAAUGGUGAAGUGAAGACUAUGAGAGCUAUUGUCAAAGGAUGUUAUUUCUUUGGGUUUCAAUUUGAAGUGAAACUUGAGGAAGAUUCAGAAGCUCUUAAAGGGAUCCAGAUUGAGUGAUUGCACAGCAAGAUGAUCUCAAUCAGUUUGAAAGCAGAUUGUGCGGAUUCUGAUACCCU
rnacentral:lncRNA from 1 species